rnacentral:rRNA from 1 species
UCGGGGCUCACUGGUGAUUCAUAAUAACUAAACGAAUCGCAUGGCCUUGUGCCGGCGAUGGUUCAUUCAAAUUUCUGCCCUAUCAACUUUCGAUGGUAUGGUCUUGGCUUACCAUGGUGUUCAACGGGUAACGGGGAAUUAGGGUUCUAUUCCGGAGAGGGAGCCUGAGAAACGGUACCACAUCCAAGGAAGGCAGCAGGCGCGCAAAUUACCCAAUCCUGAUACAGGGAGGUAGUGACAAUAAAUACUGAUACAGGGCUCUUUUGGGUCUUGUAAUUGGAAUGAGUACAAUUUAAAUCCCUUAACGAGGAACAAUUGGAGGGCAAGUCUGGUGCCAGCAGCCGCGGUAAUUCCAGCUCCAAUAGCGUAUAUUAAAGUUGUUGCAGUUAAAAAGCUCGUAGUUGAACCUUGGGCCUGGCUGGCCGGUCCGCCUCACCGCGUGCACUGGUCCGGCCGGGCCUUUCCUUCUGGGGAGCCGCAUGCCCUUCACUGGGUGUGUCGGGGAACCAGGACUUUUACUUUGAAAAAAUUAGAGUGUUCAAAGCAGGCCUAUGCUCGGAAUACAUUAGCAUGGAAUUAUAGAAUAGGACGUGUGGUUCUAUUGGUGGUUUCUAGGAACCGCGGUAUUGUUUAAUAGGGAUAGUCGGGGGCAUCAGGUAUUCAAUUGUCAGAGGUGGAAAUUCUUGGUUUUCUUGAGACUUUAA